CCACUCACAGUCUCUCUUUAAAACAAGUAAACAAACAAACAAACAAACAAAAAAGAGUACUUUGAACGGUUGUACACAAACAAAUUGGGUAACCACUAAAAUUUAACCAGCUGACGUUUGGUAAGUGUUCCUCACACAUGACAUUAAUACAAAAGCUAAGUUGUACUAUGGUAAUCUAGGAGGGUUGGGGAUCAGACAAAUAUCUAAGCUACUCCAAAAUGGUUAUGGAACCAAAACUCAAACGGAGCUGAUACAGCUAGCUGGGAUUACAACAGGGAUUGCAUUUCAACUUAAUCUUCUUAUCCUAAAGCAAGUAUAUUGUAUCUGAGAAAAGGGAGUGAAAGAAAAGAAUAAAAGGAAGAUGCUCAAGAAACUGAGAAGCGCAAAGGAGUAAGAAGGUAGGUAAUGAGAAAAAAGGAGAAAGGAAAGGAUCCAGGGAGACAAGGAGAAAGCAAGAAACAGUCACAGCAACUUGUAAUCAAACAGUAAGAAGUUUCUAAUUGUUUCCUCUUUCCAGCUGCAAGACUUGGGCUCUGGACCAUCUUUCCUGUUACUUCUCAUACACUUUAUUUAAUGUCACUAGGGACACUGCAGGCUGAUGUGUCUGCCUCAGGUCCUCUUCAGAAAACUGAACAAUUAUGAAUAGGGCCAUCGUAAGAAGGAAAGGACGGCAUACCACGGGCCAUUAUUAGUGAAAUAGACACACGUAAGUCAUGUUCUGUAAUUGUUACUCAAGACCAUUCAUGUUACAAACCAAUGUUCCUCAACUGUGGCCACAUGUUAGAAUGGUCUGGUAAGCUAAAAAACAAAACAAAGCAAAACAAAAUAAAAAACCCCAAACUCCACCCGUAGAGAUUCAAAUUUAAUUGGUCUGAAGUAAGGAGGCCUUGAUAUUUUGUGGUUCUUUUGGUUUGUGGUUUGUUUUUUGUUUGUUUGGUUGGUUUUUUCUUUUUCUUUUUUCUCCUCCUCCUCCUCCUCCUCCUUCGCUGCCUUCUUCUUCUUCUUCUUCUUCUUCUUCUUCUUCUUCUUCUUCUUCUUCUUAACUUCCUACAUGAUUAUAAUAUGAUCUGGAGCUUAGGACCACUUUUACAGAAAGACAAUUUCUGAAGUAUGCUACAUGCAUAUUUAUUGCUAAAAUAAUUAAUUUUGGUUGUUGUGAACUAUUAAGCUUUUAUUUCCCUGAAAUCAAGGGGAAUUUUCUGAAUGCUUUGAUCUCAUUCAUCUGACAGCAAAAACAAAAACAAAAACAAAAACAAAAACAAAAAAACACUAUUUAAUUGUUUCUAACACAUGUUCAAGGCACUGUGUCACAACUUUUGUAUUUUAUUUUGUUUCAUUUUAGCCACGACCUUACAAGGACCUCAAGUCAACCUUUCAUUGCAUUUCUCAAAAGGCAUUUUAGUGUCUUGUCUGCAAUUGGUACUAUGCUAUUUGUAUGGAAUAAAAAUUGGUGGGUAUUGAGCCUAUAACAACCCCAUCCUUUUCUCCCACAUUCAUAGAAGAAAACUUACCUAUUCCAGAAACAGAACAAACUGUUUACGGCUAUUGUCUUUCUCCGGUCUGCUACGGAUGAAGCUUCUGGCAAUAUGAAUCACUCUGCUUUUGAGAAGAUACAGUGAGCAUAUACAUAUCUUCCUAAAUCUUUACAUCUUAUUUUAAAAGACUGUUAACAUUCUUAGUUGUCAUCAUAGCAAAGCUUUAAGAUUUCUUCUGUUUUCAUAAUCAAAAUGCCUCAUGAAGCUCUUGAGUGAAUGACGGGAUUUCCCAAAGACAAGUUCAGGCACUUCUGAUAAUAGUCCCAGAAUAGAGAUGUUGGAACCAAUGAGUGGAAAGAAUCCUGGAACUGCAUUUGGAAGAUACAGACUAAAACUGAUCUGGAAUGCUUCCAGACUGCAUGACCUUAUGCAGAUCAUUUAACCCUUAUGAUUCCCAACGUCUUUGGAGAUGGUAGUUCCUGCCCCAGUUAGCCACCAAAAGACACAGUGAGCACAGAAGAGUUCUUUGGAGGCACAUUUUUUCACUUUUGAAAAGAACAGUGCAAAUGGGUAUGUUUGUUCCCCUUCCUCCUGUCACUUGUCUCCACCCCUCUCUGCAAGGUGCCCGGAAAGCACCAGCACUGCUAACCCAGCUCUGUGGGAACAGAAGAUUCCAAGUGGCUGAACAGGUCACCCGGUGCAGACAGGUGGAGUACAGAGAUUGGCCUGGGACAAAGGAACCAAAGAAGACAAUAGGCUGAAAGAAUCAGAAAAGCAAGCGGGAGUCUCUGGUAGCAAACAUAAGAAGCCAACUCUGUAAUCUAAGGAGAAAAUAAAACUUGUGGAAGGUCACGAGGGUGACUCAUGGGAAUGAAAGGAGCCUUUUGGUCAUUGUAAUUUCAAAUCAUGACGGCUCAGAAGCUGUCCUUAAGAAUAAGAAUAAACUGAAGAACUUUUUACCUCCUCCACGGAUAGUAUCGGCGUCUACGGAUGUAGUGUGACUGUGGCAGCAGAAAAAGACGUGACACGAGACAGGUUCUCAAUGAGUUCAGAC